UUCCCCUUGGAUUAAUAAAAUAAUUAAUUUGGAUAACUCAAGCACUAUUCUAAUUUUUUUUGCUUAUUUAAUUCUAUCAUAACCCUAUAAAGAAAAUGCUAGUGUUGUUCCUAUUUUAAAGAUGAGGAAAGUGAGACAAAGAGAGGCUAUAUUACUUCCCCAGCACCACACAAAGUAGGGAGGGCUAGAGCUAGUGUUGUAAUCUGGAAACUCUCACACCCUGACAUUUGGUUUCUCUGGGAUUAAGCCAAGCAGAGAAGGAAGCCCUGUUUUGCUUGGAUUGGCCUUUGGGGGCCCCUGUGUGAACUCCCACUCACUCCAUCUUAACAUCCUCCUUUCCCUUCACUUCCCAGUGUUGAGAUUCUGCUUACUUUCCCCAUCAAAACGACACCACUCCUGUGCCCUCGCACAUCCACUCAUCUGCUACUUCUUUCCUGGAAGGCUGUCCCUUGUACCUCUAUUCCAAUUGAAAUAUCACCUUGUUUUCCUUCCAAAAUCAUCCCCAGUUCAUCCACCUCAGGAAAUUGUCCUGGUCUGACCUAGUCCUGCUCAUCUCCUGAUUCAGAUUAAUCUGUGGUUCUCCUGGAUGGUGGGGGUCAGACUGGUGGGGAACCAACUGAGCUUCUAGGGGGAAGGCCUAGAAAUCAUGGAGACCACACUUCAGAGAGAAUCUUGCUCCAAGGUAAGCCAUGCCUCCUAAAGUAUGCCCCAGAAAUCUACUUCUUUCUGUUACCUCUUUCAUUCUAUGAAUGUGAAUCUUCUAUGAGCAUGAUAGAAAUGCUAAUAAGGUAAGACGCAGCGUUUUCCCUCUACAUACUUGCAGUUUAGGGGUGAUAGUGUUGGUACAUGACAGUACAAGAAAGCAAGUCACCAGGAUUUCAAUGAACAUGAUCUUAGAUGCUCAAGGUCCUGAUAUGGGAGAGGUCACCUAGGUUGGGACAGGAAAUAAAGGUCAAUUGGGAUAGGGAGCAUUUGAUAGAGUUUGACUUUGAAAGAUGUGUUCAUUGUGAAACUAAAGUUUCAAAGCUGAGAGACAGAAUGGUUACAGAAAUUCAGAAGGAAUUCUGGAAUUGUAUAAAGCAAUGGCGGGGGAUGGGGGCAGUAAACCUGCGAAAUAAGGUUGGAAAUGUAAAUUGUGCUCCAACCCAUAUUAAAGAGCACGCUUAAGAAUGAAUCUUGAGAGCUGGGGAUGUACCUCAGUGGUAGAGGGCUGGCUUUGCACGCUCAAGGCCCUGGGGUUGAUCCUCUGUACUGUGCACACCCAUACACGAAAAGAUUCAUAAGUAUUAGAGAAAGAAGCCUGGAUUUUAUAGUGUAUGCAAUGCAGAGGCUUUGAAAGUUUUUAAGAUGCAGAGGGAAAAUAAUCAGAAGUGACUCCAAUAGCCAGGUAGAGAAGUCAAGGUGUUAGGCAGCUAUUGUACAGAUAAACAGGCCUCUUCAGAAAUCUGAGCAAAGGAAAGGGUGAAUGUGAGAGACAUUUCGUUGGGAGAUUAAAUGAGAUUUGCCAUCUGUUAUGGUUUGGAUAUGAGGUGUCCCUUGAAAGCUCACGUGUGAGACAGUGCAGGAAUGUUUAGAGGUGACAUAAUUAGAUUAUGAGAUCCUGUAACCUAAUCAGUGGCUCAGUCCAUUUGAUGGAUUAACGAUUUGAAGGAGCUACUGUUCUGGGAGGGCAACUGUAGGCAGGUAGGGUGUGGCUAGAGGAAGUAGGUCACUGGAGGCAUGCCUUUGUGGUUUAUAUUUUGUCCCUGGCUCCUCACUUCCUUUCUUCUCUGCUUCCUGGCCGCUGUGAACUGAGGGACUAUCCUUUGCCACCCCCUUCUGCCACAAUGUUCUGCCUCACCCUGGGUUCAGAGUAAUGGAGUCCGCCAGCCACAGACUGAACCUCUGAAACUGUCCUGGAAGAAAGAUAUGAAUUCCAUUUUAGGUCUGAGCGACUGGAGCAUGUGUGUGACCGUUGGAAGGAGCAAACUUUAGAAAUGAAGGUGAAGAUACACAGAAAGAGCGGGGACAAUUGAAGGAAUAAAGUUCCUGGUUCCUGAAGAGGCAAGGGGGUGUGGGUUUGGAUAAGAUCCAGAGCAAAGGAGGAGGGGCAGCUGUUUCUCCAAGGGACCCGGGAAAGGAUGAGGCCAUUGACAAGAUAAUAGUUGUGAGAGUGGAGAAAGAAGGGAGAAAGGAAAUGAAAUCGAUCUUCGGAGGCUAACAGGAGCUAAUUGGGUGAAAUCACAUUACAACUUUUUGACCCAGCAUUAUUGUGAUGGAAAUCGCUAUACAACAAAAGCUUCCCAAGCUCUGGCUAUUGGCCCACGUAUGACAAAGCCAAAUGCUGUUCAAAGAAUGUUGAUAGUUCUUGGAAACGGUGUCAAUGAGACAUUGCCAACAAUGGAAAAGUUCUUCAAAAGGAAGGCACAAAUGCGUUCCAAAUAGAAGCUGGUGUCAUAAUUAUUAUUUAGAUAGACACCCUUAACCCUGUGUCUCCUGAUUCUUGCUCCGCCUGACUCAUUUAAACAACCAUAGUUAAGCAUGUUAUCAGAAAGGCCAGUUGGGCAGUCUGACGAGUCAUGGAUGGUCAAUGGACACACUGUAGCUACUCCCUGGCCUUAAUGGUUCUUAGUUAAAGUCUGGAAUUGAAUACCGAGAAAUGAAUUCAGAACAACUCAAGGACUUCUCAAUUUAUAUUGGUUUCUCUCCCAAAGAGUUAGAGGGUUUCUGUGUCCUCCUGAAAACUUCAUCCCUUCUAGGCCAGAGGGUGAAGUUAGUCUGCCUUUGGCACCCUCAGACAUUCUCUUUCAUUCUUUAUCCUUUCAUGACAACUAGAGUCUCCUUUUCUUCUUGAGGCACGCCACCUCCUGAUCUCUAUCUUUUACCUGGCAUGAAAACUCACCUUCAGCCUGGAAUCUGAAAUUAUAUUAGUACACCUUUAAGAAACUGUGUUUAUUCUCCAAGGGGUGUUGUUACACAAAGUCUUCCCUUUUAAUUGUGUUACAGGCUUUGAUCCCUGUUAGAAGAACUUAGGUAUUCAGAAGCAGGAAAGGGUUUGGGAGACAAAAUUUUCUUAGUACAUGAGAAUCUCCUCUAAUAAUUUUUAGGACUGUUUCUGCCUAGAACUAUGGCUUCUACCUGUGAGGGAGUAAAUGGGGUCAUCCUCACCCAGGCAAAAAUCAUGAAGACUCAGCAUCUCUGACCACGGAUCCUUCCUUCAUACAGUCCUUUUCCAACCUCCCCAAUCUUCUAGAAGCAGGUCAGGGUACCCAGGUGCUUUCCUGGAAUAACAUCCCAGAAAUGACCAAAACCUUUGAAGAUUUCUUCUUCUGGCUCCCUGCUAGUUUUACUUCUUUAGAGUUCUUCAUUGAUGUAAAAUGGAUGUAAUGUAGCAUAAAUCCAUGGAGAUAAAAUUAUGUUAGAAAUACAUGCUUAUUUUAUUGGCUUCUCCUAUACCCAAAUGACCAUACUUUUCUCCCGUCCUCCUGUUGAAGCCAGUGGCUGUUGGUCCUGGCUUUUUAAAUUGUACCUGAGCACCUUUGGAUGCCUGUAAUUCAGGUGUUGACGUGGUGGUUUUGUGCAGAUCAUUCAAGCUUCAUCUUCAGGCAAACAACUGUGUCUUGGAAAAGUUCUGUUUCUCUAACCUUGUUCCAUGCAUGCUUCUAUGUCAAGGAAUGAAAAAUUAGAGCUGACACUGUGUGGAUUAUUUAUAUGGAUGAAAUCCCACCAGGCUUCUCAUGAUGUACUACAAGCACUUGCUAUUCUGCUCCUCUGGCUCUAGGAAAACCAAUUGCAGUUGACACGGUAAUCAGUUGCCCCUGAGAACAUGGUUCCUUUAAUUUUUUUUUUCAGAGCCUGUAGUGGAAAGUCUAUGGAGCCUUGAGCACAGGGUCCAGCCCCUGAAAUGUUGCUACUCUCCGUCCCUAAGACAAACACUAAAAUCAACAUCCGAAGUGGAGUCGUGGUUAGACUGAAGCUUUAGUUUACCCCCAAAUAGGACUUUUUCUCUGUCCUUCAAGGGGACUUUAGCAGUAAGACAGCCAAAAAUAAUGGAGAGCCUGCCCCCAAAAGUGGAGCCUUAGGAAAAGAA